UCUUUCCAAUUUUGAAUACACACAAUGCCACUUCUUAGAUGCACGGCGCACCGCCUAUGUGCUAGAACUGGCUCUUGCUUGAUUGACCCUUUAGCAUCAUGUUCGCGCGUGGCACCGCACAACUUGCAGUUUACCCACGUCCUUGGAACACGACAAUUUUCACUCUUUGGCGAGGCGAUAAAUCACUCGAAGCUGCUUGUACAGUGCACGGUGGCUCUGGAACGCUCUCAUAAGUAUGAGGGUGGGCAGAACACUGCCCUCAGGGGCGAGAAAGCGAGUGCUCGCGGUCCUGUCGAAUUUGAAUGUCAGCUGAGCAACAUGUGCCGCGGCUUCCCACUCACCUUGUCUCUUUGUUGCAGCACGCGCGCCGGUCUCUUGCUUAUCAAUGGUGCAAGAUUUAUACCGGCGGGCGCGAUUGUGCUGGAGGGGCCAGAAUGCACCCAUAGCCAAUUCAUCUACCACGGUCCGCACAUGAACCAGUCGCAUUUGGCAGAGCUGCUUGUUGGGCACAGGCGUCCUAAUUCACCGCUAGAUGACAUCGCUCAUAUCGAGGCUGUCUUUUUCAGCGCGGUGCGUUGCUUUGGCAGCGCUUCGAGCACCUGGUUUGCCCAUACUCCAGUCCACACUAUAAAACCUGAGCUUGCUGAUCGUAUCGCCGAGCUAGUGCGUGCCUUCGGGGUCGAUGAUGCGCUCGCUGAAUACGUCGAAUGUAAAGCGCACGCUGUAGAGAGACUGGAGCGGGACGCGUGGGUUCGUGUUUCGAAUAGCGUUUUACCUAACCUAGAGUGACUCUAGGGGUCCUUGUCUCGAACGAUUCGCCUGUGUGUACUGAUGUCUACGCUGCUUUUUGCAGCGUUUCCUGCAACGCAUGAAAAAGAAAAGCGAAAAUACUGGAUAGUAUCACUGCGGUGCGUUAGAAUUGUGUUUUACUAGGGCGCUGCUUGCUGUCUCUUGUUCUUUUCUGCGUGACUGGUCUGUUUGGUACACGGUGCACAGCAAAGCAUCUGCUAUACAUCUCGCCGUGGUAUGCAAGAAUCGCGAUGAUUUCGUGGUGCUUUACACCAGUGUGUUUCACGUUACGUUUCUUAAACGCCUUCCUGCUCUGAAACUAAUUUACAUGAAUGCUUCCAACAAG
rnacentral:misc_RNA from 1 species